GAAAGGGUGUGUCGUUCUGUGGAUAUGUGACAUGCCUGGGCUGGGAUAUCGGUGGAUUUUCACCGGUAGGAUAUAAUAACCGACAACGCAGUUGCUUGGUCCGUCAUUUUAUUGGCUAAUGUCCGCAGCCUCAAUUAGG
rnacentral:ncRNA from 1 species